GAUGAACGCUGGCGGCGUGCCUAAUACAUGCAAGUCGAGCGAACGGACGAGAAGCUUGCUUUUCUGAUGUUAGCGGCGGACGGGUGAGUAACACGUGGAUACCCUACCUAUAAGACUGGGAUCACUUCGGGAAACCGGAGCUAAUACCGGAUAAUCUUUUGAACCGCAUGGUUCAAAAGUGAUAGACGGUCUUGCUGUCACUUAUAGAUGGAUCCGCGCUGCAUUAGCUAGUUGGUAAGGUAACGGCUUACCAAGGCAACGAUGCAUAGCCGACCUGAGAGGGUGAUCUGCCACACUGGAACUGAUACAAGGUCCAGACUCCUACGGGAGGCAGCAGUAGGGAAUCUUCCGCAAUGGGGGAAAGCCUGACGGAGCAACGCCGCGUGAGUGAUGAAGGUCUUCGGAUCGUAAAACUCUGUUAUUAGGAAAGAACAUAUGUGUAAGUAACUGUGCACAUCUUGACGGUACCUAAUCAGAAAGCCACGGCUAACUACGUG
rnacentral:rRNA from 1 species